rnacentral:rRNA from 1 species
UUAAGCACAAAGGCGUGUUGAGUAAGCAAAUCUAUCAACUGUAACGCUGAAGUGUGAUGGGGGAAAAGUUCUACGGAACUUCAACUUUGCUGAAGCCAUGCUUUCAAGAAAAACUUCUAGGGCUAAUCUUGUAGGUGCCUGUACUCAGAACCGACACUGGUAGUCAAGGAGAGAAUCCUAAGGUGAGCGAGAUAACUAUGGUUAAGGAACUCGGCAAAAUGACCCCGUAACUUCGGAAUAAGGGGAGGUGUAGCGAUACACCCUCAGGAAAUAGGUCCAGGCAACUGUUUACCAAAAACACAGGUCUCUGCUAAAGCGUAAGCUGAUGUAUAGGGGCUGACGCCUGCCCAGUGCUGGAAGGUUAAGAGGAGAUGUUAGUUGGACGCAAGUCGAUAACAACGAAGCUUCGAAUUGAAGCCCAGUGAACGGCGGCCGUAACUAUAACGGUCCUAAGGUAGCGAAAUUCCUUGUCAGGUAAGUUCUGACCCGCACGAAAGGCGUAAUGAUCUGGAUACUGUCUCAACCAUAGACUCGGUGAAAUCUUAAUACCUGUGAAAAUGCAGGUUACCCGCUACAGGACAAAAAGACCCCGUGGAGCUUUACUGCAACUUGAUAUUGGAAUCAGAUGUAUCAUGUAGAGGAUAGGUGGGAGACUUUGAAGUUAGGACGUCAGUUCUAAUGGAGUCAUCCUUGGAAUACCACCCUUGAUAUGUUUGAUUUCUAACUUGCGCCCAUUAUCUGGGUGGAGGACAGUGUCUGGUGGGCAGUUUGACUGGGGCGGUCGCCUCCCAAAGAGUAACGGAGGCGCCCAAAGGUUCCCUCAGAAUGGUUGGAAAUCAUUCGUAGAGUGUAAUGGCAGAAGGGAGCUUAACUGCGAGACCUACAAGUCAAGCAGAUGCGAAAGCAGGGCAUAGUGAUCUUGCGAUCCCGAAUGGAAGGGUCGUUGCUUAACGGAUAAAGGUUACCCCGGGGAUAACAGGCUGAUCCCACCCAAUAGUUCGUAUAGACGGUGGGGUUUGGCACCUCGAUGUCGGCUCGUCGUAUCCUGGAGGUGGAAUCGCUUCCAAGGGUUGGGCUGUUCGCCCAUUAAAACGGCACGCGAGCUGGGUUCAGAACGUCGUGAGACAGUUCGGUCUCUAUCCGUAGUGGGCGUUAGAAAAUUGAGGAGUGCUUUUCCUAGUACGAGAGGACCGGAAAGGACGAACCGAUGGUGUAUCUGUUGUCACGCCAGUGGCAGUGCAGAGUAGCUAUGUUCGGAAGGGAUAAUCGCUGAAGGCAUCUAAGCGAGAAGCCCUCUCCAAGAUGAGUUUUCUUUAUCUUCAAGAUAUAAGAUCCCUUGUAGACGACAAGGUUGAUAGGUUAGAUGUGUAAGCAUAGUGAUAUGUUGAGCUGACUAAUACUAUAGAUCGACAAUUUAAU